UCGAGCGGACAGAUGGGAGCUUGCUCCCUGAUGUUAGCGGCGGACGGGUGAGUAACACGUGGGUAACCUGCCUGUAAGACUGGGAUAACUCCGGGAAACCGGGGCUAAUACCGGAUGCUUGAUUGAACCGCAUGGUUCAAUUAUAAAAGGUGGCUUUUAGCUACCACUUACAGAUGGACCCGCGGCGCAUUAGCUAGUUGGUGAGGUAACGGCUCACCAAGGCAACGAUGCGUAGCCGACCUGAGAGGGUGAUCGGCCACACUGGGACUGAAACACGGCCCAAACUCCUACGGGAGGCAGCAGUAGGGAAUCUUCCGCAAUGGACGAAAGUCUGACGGAGCAACGCCGCGUGAGUGAUGAAGGUUUUCGGAUCGUAAAACUCUGUUGUUAGGGAAAAACAAGUACCGUUCGAAUAGGGCGGUACCUUGACGGUACCUAACCAAAAAGCCACGGCUAACUACGUGCCAGCAGCCGCGGUAAUACGUAGGUGGCAAGCGUUGUCCGGAAUUAUUGGGCGUAAAGCGCGCGCAGGCGGUUUCUUAAGUCUGAUGUGAAAGCCCCCGGCUCAACCGGGGAGGGUCAUUGGAAACUGGGGAACUUGAGUGCAAAAAAGGAGAGUGGAAUUCCACGUGUAGCGGUGAAAUGCGUAGAGAUGUGGAGGAACACCAGUGGCGAAGGCGACUCUCUGGUCUGUAACUGACGCUGAGGCGCGAAAGCGUGGGGAGCGAACA
rnacentral:rRNA from 1 species